rnacentral:lncRNA from 1 species
GUGUGUAUUCUGGCCGAGUUUGGGCCUUGAACAUGUCUCAAAUAUCACUCCAAACAAAUCCCAAAUGGCCAAAAGUGUUAAAAAGGUCUAAUUCAAAAAGUCAACUUUGGACCACACUUGAAUUUAAAUAAGACAAGUCCAAAAAUGCCAUUUUGCAUGGUGAGGUUUUGAUGAAUGAUGAAUGUAUUUUUGGAAAGAGGGGAACAAA